rnacentral:rRNA from 1 species
GCUACCAUGCAGUCGGACGGUAGCACAGAGAGCUUGCUCUUGGGUGACGAGUGGCGGACGGGUGAGUAAUGUCUGGGGAUCUGCCCGAUAGAGGGGGAUAACCACUGGAAACGGUGGCUAAUACCGCAUAACGUCGCAAGACCAAAGAGGGGGACCUUCGGGCCUCUCACUAUCGGAUGAACCCAGAUGGGAUUAGCUAGUAGGCGGGGUAAUGGCCCACCUAGGCGACGAUCCCUAGCUGGUCUGAGAGGAUGACCAGCCACACUGGAACUGAGACACGGUCCAGACUCCUACGGGAGGCAGCAGUGGGGAAUAUUGCACAAUGGGCGCAAGCCUGAUGCAGCCAUGCCGCGUGUAUGAAGAAGGCCUUCGGGUUGUAAAGUACUUUCAGCGGGGAGGAAGGCGAUGCGGUUAAUAACCGCGUCGAUUGACGUUACCCGCAGAAGAAGCACCGGCUAACUCCGUGCCAGCAGCCGCGGUAAUACGGAGGGUGCAAGCGUUAAUCGGAAUUACUGGGCGUAAAGCGCACGCAGGCGGUCUGUUAAGUCAGAUGUGAAAUCCCCGGGCUUAACCUGGGAACUGCAUUUGAAACUGGCAGGCUUGAGUCUUGUAGAGGGGGGUAGAAUUCCAGGUGUAGCGGUGAAAUGCGUAGAGAUCUGGAGGAAUACCGGUGGCGAAGGCGGCCCCCUGGACAAAGACUGACGCUCAGGUGCGAAAGCGUGGGGAGCAACAGGAUUAGAUACCCUGGUAGUCCACGCCGUAAACGAUGUCGACUUGGAGGUUGUUCCCUUGAGGAGUGGCUUCCGGAGCUAACGCGUUAAGUCGACCGCCU